UAGCUGGUAUUUGGGAGCCCCGGCCCAGA
rnacentral:sRNA from 1 species